rnacentral:rRNA from 1 species
CCUACGGGAGGCAGCAGUGGGGAAUAUUGCUCAAUGGGGGGAACCCUGAUGCAGCAACGCCGCGUGCGUGAUGACGUACUUCGGUAUGUAAAGCCCUGUCUGUAGGGAAGAAAUGACGCUACCUGACCAAGAAUCCCCGGCUAAUUACGAGCCAGCAGCCGCGGUAAUACGUAGGGGGCACGCGUUAUCCGGAUUUACUGGGUGUAAAGGGAGCGUAGACGGCAAGGCAAGUCUGGAGUGAAAGCCCGUGGCUCAACCACGGGACUGCUUUGGAAACUGUGUUGCUGGAGUGCAGGAGGGGUAAGCGGAAUUCCGAGUGUAGCGGUGAAAUGCGUAGAUAUGAGGAGGAACACCGGUGGCGAAGGCAGCUUACUGGACUGUAACUGACGUUGAUGCUCGAAGGCGUGGGUAGCAAACAGGAUUAGAUACCCCGGUAGUC